rnacentral:lncRNA from 1 species
AAAGAAGCUCCUGCAGGUGAACCAGUUUGUGACUUUGAACCUUCAUCCUUUUUGAGCUUAUCAUUCUUGGACUUCCUUCUUUCAGCAUCCUUGACAGCCUUGCAUAUCUCUUUCAAAUUUUUGGAUGACUUAAUCAUAUUACCAGUUAUGAUAAGAGAUAGAUGGAAAUGAGUGUGACCUUGAUGGGAAUGGAAGUUAUGUUUUAUAGAUAGCCUGGGAUCAAACAGACCACUGUUGAUUAUUAUGCACCAAUGGACUUUGGAGAGAGGUAUAUUUUUGGUCUUCUGGAAAAUGCUUAGCUAUCAAAACCUGUUUUGACCAUCUUAAGAAUUGAAGAGUUGGUUCCCAACCAUUCUG